GGCGCGCUGCUGCGGGGCUGGGCUCCGGCCGGGAGUCGGUGGAGGGAGCAGGGAGGGAGCGCGCGCGCGCGCCCGGACCGUCCACCGCAGCCGCUCGUCCCAAGCCUUCUCCCUGGUCGCGUUGCCCGCAACCGCCUCGACCUUCUUGCGCGCCCUGUUCGCGGGCUCUCAGGCUCUGGAACUCAUGCGUCCAUAGCGUGGCUAGACAGCCCUAGGAAUCGCAUUUCUGCAGGCAGCCCUAACCAGCUGCCGCCACAAAGGUGAGUAUAAAUCCCAGCUCCUUCGCUGUGGGGCUAGAGCAUUCUGGGGCAUGCAGUUUGAAGUUGCUCAGAAUUCCCCUUGUGAUCCAGCAGCAACCUUCACUGUGGGGCUGAUGUAAUGGGAUCCCCUUUACGGUGAGCCACCACUUCCUGUCCUUGUCUCUCUUCUCAGUUCCCCCGCACUUUCCACAUCUCAACCAACCACUGCCAAGUGCUUGAUUCUGGGUCUUUUGGUGGGGGUCUUCCAUUCCAAAAUGAUUUGUACACUUUUCCAAGGCAGAAGUCUAAAUUUAGUUUUGCCAAAAUCACUGUGCACCCUGAGUUAACAAGACACAUUUUGGCAAAUACCUGGGCAAACAUUUGGAGUUAAGCUCAUGGCAAAUGCAUACCUAUUAGAAUGUUGCCCUUUGGAGGGGUAGAGUAGGGCCAUGGCCACGUGUUCCCUUCCUCAUUCCUCCUCCUACAGUACACAGCAUGGCCAGUUUGUAUUAGAGCACACUGUGCUAUGCUCACUGUGAACAUGUGCUUCUGAGCAUGGAUAGGCCCCCAGUGACUACUCCUACCUGCUUUAUUCUGGGUGGGUGGGCAGGUGGGUAAUUGGUUGGUUGGUCAGUUGGUUUGGUUUGGACUGGUCUGGAAUACAUUGUAUAGUUCAGGUGAACCUCAGACUCACAGACGUCUUCUUCCUCAAGCCACCUGAAUGCUAGGAUUCCACGUGUGAACCCCCAUCCUCAGCCUUCUCUUCUAUUUACAGGCCUCCCAGAUGGAAGCUGUUUUCUAGCACCAGCCACCUUUCUGGUCUGAGAAAACCCUGUCCUCCCAUAUUUCCCACUAGUGGGGAAACUCAGUUCACCCUUAAAUUACCUUAAGAAAGUAAGCAUGCUCCUUGUAGCCCCUCCCAGCACACCAGUCUGUCCCUUGGCAGUCUGAGGCCCAAACGACACAUCCAGCUAGGCCACUGUCCUUUCUACAUCUCCUUCCUUGCUUCGUGUCAUCAUCUCUGGGUGCUCAAACACACAGUACACCAACGGAAGCUAUGUGACUCUGUUUCAGAGCAGAUUAGCUUUGGGGAAAAAUGCAAUCCUGGCAGAAGACAAUUAAUUCAUUUGAUUCCACACACAUGGUGCCCUUUCUGCCUCACACAUAGGCAGUUCCUCAAGAGCGGCUUGUUUUUGUUUUUAAACACACACACACUGUAUAGCCGUUUGUGCUGAGCAACAAGAACCCAGACAAAGAAGCCAUGGCCGUGUUCUUAUUUACAGAGGUUGCCGGAUGAGAAAUUAAUGCCUGCUGUUGCUCAGUAAUUGGGAAAAUUUAGGGCCCUGGUGCUCCAGCAUCUUCCAUUUAAGGUUGUAUGUUAUCUGUGUUUUCAUGAGAAUUUGUUGGAUUUCUGCCAUUAAUAACAGGCAUAAACCCAGCAAACAGCAAGACAUGCGUUACAUUUAAUCAAUUUGCUCUUUGUAUUCAUUAUGCAUGUCCUCCAUUUUGAGUCAUGAAAAAUUGAAAGGCCAUUGCAAAAAGAAAGAGGAUCGUGGAUUACAAAUGAUGUAACAAAAGCAGAAGUGCUAUUAAUUGGUCAGUUGUGCUUGUCAGCCCAUUUAAAGUGAUGAAGGCCGAAAGAUUAGAAAGGACAUGAAUGUGUGUGGGAGCAGGGGUCCAGGAACACUGGGGUCCCUUCAGUCCUCAGAGCCCAGAAGAAUACAACAGAACCAAAUGAUGUUCAUUCCGAUUUCAUUCAACAAAUAAUGCAUGAGCACUUUCUAUGUGCUUUAGGCUGUGGUAACUCCAGCAGAAAGCAGUGGAAGUGCAGCCUGUGACCUCAGGGUGACAUUCCAGUGUGCUCAGAACAGAUGGGUGUACCCUGCGAUUCCCACAGUGUAAGCCACAAAACCCAACAGGAGGUCAGGGAGCACAAAGUGAUGGCCUUGGGAGAAGGUCUCUUGAAAGUAACAUCUGAAAGGAGGUUAAAAUGAAGGAUGAAAAGGUUUGUGUCUGUCACACCACCACCACCCCCCUCCCCCGUCUCCUUCCACCAUUCAAGAAAAGAGAAUUUCUGUAUUGAUAGCUCCUGAGAUAUGAGAUGACGUUUCUCAGGAUCUCAGAUUUCACAGUGGUGAGGAAGGGAAGCACGAGGUAGGUUUAAUCUUUGCUUGGACUGUUGUAUGGCCCCACCCUCCCUCAUGCAGCAGCAGUGGCCCACAGCGUGGCCAACCACAUCACCACAAAUGCACAUGGAUGUUCUUCUGAGCUUUCUGGACGCAAGCUUUCAAGAAAUCCCAUGAGACACUCAACACUUUCCUAAAAGUAGUCUGUGUGGGAGAGCUCGCCCCAGUGUUAGGCUAAUGCAGUUUUCUGAGCAUAGGGUAAGACAGGAGCCAGGAGUCCUAUGGGUUGAGUAUACUAAAGGCAUUCUUGGGACAUUCUUAACCUACACUGUUUUAUUGGGAUGUAACUCCAUCACAGACUGACAUAGGAGGCUUUGUUUUUGUUUUGUUUACUUAUGGGAUUUGGUGAAACACAACCCAAUGGAUGGCUCCCAAGACGAGAAAUCUCACCCUAUCAGUUUUCUUGUGUGGAACCUUCUGUGGUAGCAGUUUGGUUCAGUUGACAGUGAGUUGGUUGGCCCACCAAGCUAGGGCCCCAGGAAGACCUGCUGGUCGGUAGCUCUCAAGACCAUGCUCUUUCCUAUGAAGUACAGUUCUGCAUGCUGCAAUCACCCAGAGCUUGAAACAUGCCUGUGCCUAAGAUGCUUGGGCAGAAAGUGAGCUAAGGAUGGUGCUGAACACUGGUCUGUGUUUGGAAGAACUUGAGUGAAUCUCACGUGCAGCCAGGCUGGGAAGUACCAGUGUAUUCAGGGCCUCAAGCAAGACUCCUUGCUUCUAAGAAUGAUGGCGCUUCCUUUCUCCUUGUGGUUGGCCACCUUCUGUUUGGCUCCUAUAGUUGCUAUGUUUGUCACAUCAAUCCAGAGGAGCAAAGUCAUGAACAAACUCUCAGAGAGAUAUUCCUGAGCUUAGCCUGGAGAGGCACACAUCACUGCUGCUCAAAUGUCACUGUUCAGAACUCCGUCCUCGGUAUGUAUGUAUGUAUGUAUGUAUGUAUGUAUGUAUGUAUGUAUAUACAUACAUACACAUAUUUAUAGAACAGAUGAUAGAUAAUUAUUUUUAUUUUAUAAAAUAAUGUAUGGGUGUCUCACCUGCAUGUAUGUCUGUGCAUCAUGUGCAUGCCUGGUGCCUAUUGCCUGCAGAGAUCAGAGAGGGUGUUGGGUCCCCUAGAAUUGUAGUUACAGAUAGUUGUGAGCCACCAUGUAAGUGUUGAGAAUCACACUCAGGUCCUCUGGAAGAGCAACCAAUGUUCUUGACCCCUAAACGAUCUCUGGUCAGCCCUCUGGGAAUAUUUUUGACAUGGAAAUUAGGGUUCUUUCCAUUGCACGGGACAGAAAGGGUCCACCAAUAUUAAGCAAGAUAGGAAGGCCCUGGCUCAUGUGUGCAAGACUGGGUCACAUGACCCAGACUUCUAAAUCUUCCCAGAGGUACCUGGGUUGCAUGUCACCCAUGUCCUCCACGGAAGAUCUCAGACAGACUCCCCCACAACUCAGUAUAGCUGCCAACAACUCCUGGCUUAAGUUUUCAUUUGUCACCCUGAGGGAGAAUUCCUCUCCAUAAACGUUCCAUAGUAUAUAUUUUUGGCACUAAGUCCUAGUUCCCGUGUCCCUGAGUCAACCAUGUGACCAAAAAGAUGGUGCCCUCUAGUAAUCCAAGCAUGGGCCGUGGAAACCCUGGAUUUGAGAGAGGCCUGUUCCAUGUAGCGCAUACAAGCUAAAGCCACAUGGGCAGCUCCCAGAGAGCCGACAUACUGCUGGCUUCUGAUGGGAAGGACUUGUGCCAGGCAAGCCUGGGCUGACACCUUCCAUCAAUUUUCCUCAUGCUGGCUGUGGGCAGGGCUGAGGAAGCAGAAGGGUCUCCUCACCUGGCCUCCUGGUGUGCUCUCCAGCCCCACUUCACACUGAUCAUGUGACAGCACAACUCCCCGGGUUCCCAUUAGAAGGCAAGGAUUAUGUUUGGCCCCUUUGCAUAGACUCCAUCAGCAGUCUUUCCCCCAAUGUUUUUACACCAUCCCGCAAGGCUCGAUAGAGCAUGCCUCCAGCCACCAGGGACCUUAGCAGAUAACAACUUAAAACCUGCCUGACCUCAAGAACCCAUGGACCAGGAAAUCAUCAUUCUGUGUGUAUGACUAUUAUAUGUGUAAGUGUGAAGGCCUUCACUACAUUACCCAGGGAGGAUCAUCCCAAAGGGGGCCAGCAGCACCAGGUGCACCUCCUCCAGCAUCCAUAUGACUGCUUCAAGUAUAGAAGUCCAUGCACCAUUUUGCAUUCUGGAGAAGCAUGAAGCUUUGGACCAACCUGAGAUGAUAGCUUUGUCAACAUUUCUCAAAGUGGACUCCUUGUUACAGAAAAUGCAGCAGUUUGUUUUCAUUCCUUCAAGGAAAUGCCUGAGGCUGGCUACAUUGUAAAGAAAAAGGAUUCAGUUCCCAAUUCCAGAGGCCUGGGCCUAAGACACAUCAAGAAAAUGCCAGCUCUGGCAAAGAAUCCUGGCCUCAUCACAUGCAGAUGGCAUCAAGGCACAAACGUGUUGUGAGGAGAGUAUGCGCACAGAUGGACCAGAAGUCAGGCUGGGAAUGGCUAAAUUCACUCUUAAAACAGCUUCCUUUAGCAAGAACUAAGUCGCGCCAGAACCACCUUAGUCCCUUCUGGGACCAGUGACCCACUGACCUCCUCUUAGGUUCCACCUCUUAUAGGACACAUCAUCUCUUAAGAUCACCAUACUGGAGACCGGAUUUCUAACACAUGAACACUUAAGGGGAUACACCACAUCAAACCGUAAUCAGAUGAGACAUUAUAUCCUGAGAGAAACUCAAGCAUUUGAUGUUCAUGCCAGUUGGGGAGAUGCUGGGCUAACUGGUUAGGAUUUUUUUCUGCAGGACUUAGCCAAGCCUAAGUGUGAUGUGUUUUGUGACUUUGAACAGUGGUUCCCAGCCUUCCUGACGCUGCAGCCCCCUUUUUGUUAUUCUCUCCUACAAUACGUCCCUAUUGCAUUCCCCGCCCCACUCCUCCCAGCCACCCCACCUCCCUUUUCCCCAUAUCCACUUAUCCUCUGUUUCCCUUAUGCAGCAACACUUUAAUACAGUGCCUCAUGUUAUGGUGACCCCCAAACAGAAAAUGACUUUUGUUGCAACUCCAUAACUGUAAUUGUGCUAUUGUGAUGAAUCAUAAUGCUCAUCUUUGUUUUCCAGUGGUCUUAGGAGACCCCUGUGAGAGGUCAUUAGACCCCCCCCCUCAAAGGGUCAGGACCCACAUCUGAGAAACAUUGUUCAAGAAAGAAGCAAACUAGAGUCAGCUGUGCUCCUCAGCUCUACUUAACAAAGCCCCGUUUGUUUGUAGCUUCCUAUGAAACGUCUCCCAAGACAUGGAUUUAUGGAUUGUUCUCCUGGGAACUGCGUCCUUGGAGAAUACAUGCAAAUGGCGGCCACUGGGUUCAUGCUGCUUUGAAGGGGUCAGGUGGUAGGAAUCUUAAGAGUUCCCAGAGGAGGUGAUAUUUGGGGGUUUUAGCAGAAAGCGUUCUCUUUGCCUGAAUUAGAACAAAUGAGGUGUCAGUGUUUUUUACAAAGCUGGUGGCAUCUCAGGGUGUCUGGAAACGGAGAGGUGCUAGACAGAGGGACACUGGAGCUUGCAUGUCUCUGGCUGAGUCUCUGUCAUUCAGAAGGUGUGCAGCCUUGGGCAGCUCGCUGGAUUCUUCCAGGCUUCUCCUGCCUGAGAAGAUGAACUCUGACCAGGGAGGGAAUGGGCAAUGUCUGGGAAGUGAAAGUGCCCACCCGUGGCUGAGAUGAAUGUUGCUCUUGGCGUCUUUUACCUCACACCCACCUACCUAUCCCAUAGGGGCCUUGCUGGUGGUCUGGAAACCUCUAGAAGAGCUACCCCCUUUCUGCUGCCCUCUUGUGGCGGCUGAGAUGGUAGCAUGGGACCAUGAUUUCUUCCCAUCUACACCAGCAUCUUCCUGCAUCUUCCUGAGGACAUUGGCACCUUGGGCCGACAAGCAAUAUGGAAACAGAUGCGGAGGCCCCACUGUUUGCUGACAUAGACUGUCCUUCAGGUCACCCUCUGUGAUAUGUCACCAAGGGGGAGCCAAUCCUCAUGUGCCUGCCCUAUCGGAGUCAGCUCCUGCCUGCAUCUGUCACUGCUGAUUGCAUUUGAAUGGCUUUGUCUCUGUUUUAAAUAAAAGAUUUAUGC